CAGCAGCCGCGGGAACACGUAGGUGGCAAGCGUUGUCCGGAAUUAUUGGGCGUAAAGCGCGCGCAGGCGGAUAGGUCAGUCUGUCUUAAAAGUUCGGGGCUUAACCCCGUGAUGGGAUGGAAACUGCCAAUCUAGAGUAUCGGAGAGGAAAGUGGAAUUCCUAGUGUAGCGGUGAAAUGCGUAGAUAUUAGGAAGAACACCAGUGGCGAAGGCGGCUUACUGGCUCGAAACUGACGCUGAGGCGCGAAAGCGUGGGGAGCAAACAGGAUUAGAUACCCCCGUAGUCCCUGUCUCUUAUACA
rnacentral:rRNA from 1 species